rnacentral:rRNA from 1 species
CGUAGGAGGCGAGCGUUGUCCGGAAUCAUUGGGCGUAAAGAGCGCGCAGGCGGCCUGUCAAGUCGGGUGUGAAAUCCCGGGGCUCAACCCCGGGACUGCAUCCGAUACUGUCAGGCUAGAGGUAGGUAGGGGAGAUCGGAAUUCCUGGUGUAGCGGUGAAAUGCGCAGAUAUCAGGAGGAACACCGGUGGCGAAGGCGGAUCUCUGGGCCUUACCUGACGCUCAGGCGCGAAAGCUAGGGGAGCGAACAGGAUUAGAUACCCUGGUAGUCCUAGCCGUAAACGUUGGGUGCUAGGUGUGGGCGGAUAUCGACCCCGUCCGUGCCGAAGCUAACGCAUUAAGCACCCCGCCUGGGGAGUACGGCCGCAAGGCUA